GAACAGGUCAUAUCUUAAAUAUCUGUGGUAAAGUGACAUUCACCUAAAGGGUAGGACGUUAUCAAAGUGUAUAUAAUCAUGUUAAAAGUAUCGUGUUUAGAGAUAUGGACUAUUUUAUUUUUGGCAGUAAUAGUGACAUUUGUGUCUAGUCAUCCUACACGCUCGUCGUUGAAAGAAACAUCCGGACGAGGCCUUUCAUCCAAUAGUCAAUCAUCCGAACAGGCACUUUCACAAAGAAAUGAAGUAGUUUUUUCAACAAAAGUGAAAAGAUCUGUGUCUAGUAAAUUACAAACUACAAGAUGUCUAGUGGACGAAACUUAUAACGCUAUAUGUUACUUUUGUGGCAGAUUUUAUGACAGUAUUGAGGUGUAUGACCAGUGUUGUAAGGCCGAGGACGAUGUUUUAGAGCAAUUUUGUAUACAAGUGUAUAGCUGAUGAUAACAAAGGCACUGAAUUAAUACUUCAGAGAAAAAACAUAUCAGAUUUAACCAAAGAGCUCGAAUAUUUCUCAAGAAUCUCAAAGGAAAUGCAUGUCCAUCCACGUUUGCGAAGAUUUAUUACACAUUUUUAUUUUGAAUGAAUGAAAUGAAUGUGUCGUGUCUAUUAUUGAAUGAGUGGAAGAAACACGAGAAUGGCUUUUUUGAUUUUCAGGAACAACUUUAUUUUAUUGUUUUCAGAACUGUUAUUUGAGAUUUGUAUUUUUGUUGAAAUAAACUAUAUCCAAUAUUUUUGUCCAGAUAAAUGAAAACUACAUUUU